AUUUCUUAAAGAAUUGUGUUGUGAAGAAGCCUUCGAUAGGCCUAUAAUAGAAAGUUUAGAUUGCUGUCCUAUCUUAAGGGAUAAGUUUAUCAAUUCUACUUAUUAUAGGGCAUGCCUAAGGCAAUAGAUUGAAGAGGUGCAAACUGUAGUGCCUUAACCCAUUAAAGGCAUAACCAUAACUCUAGCAUACACCUACACCAAGU
rnacentral:misc_RNA from 1 species